rnacentral:rRNA from 1 species
ACGCUGGCGGCAGGCCUAACACAUGCAAGUCGAGCGGUAGCACAGGAGAGCUUGCUCUCUGGGUGACGAGCGGCGGACGGGUGAGUAAUGUCUGGGAAACUGCCUGAUGGAGGGGGAUAACUACUGGAAACGGUAGCUAAUACCGCAUGACCUCGCAAGAGCAAAGUGGGGGACCUUCGGGCCUCACGCCAUCGGAUGUGCCCAGAUGGGAUUAGCUAGUAGGUGGGGUAAUGGCUCACCUAGGCGACGAUCCCUAGCUGGUCUGAGAGGAUGACCAGCCACACUGGAACUGAGACACGGUCCAGACUCCUACGGGAGGCAGCAGUGGGGAAUAUUGCACAAUGGGCGCAAGCCUGAUGCAGCCAUGCCGCGUGUGUGAAGAAGGCCUUAGGGUUGUAAAGCACUUUCAGCGAGGAGGAAGGCGCUGCAGUUAAUAGCUGCAGCGAUUGACGUUACUCGCAGAAGAAGCACCGGCUAACUCCGUGCCAGCAGCCGCGGUAAUACGGAGGGUGCAAGCGUUAAUCGGAAUUACUGGGCGUAAAGCGCACGCAGGCGGUUUGUUAAGUCAGAUGUGAAAUCCCCGAGCUUAACUUGGGAACUGCAUUUGAAACUGG